rfam:Salmo salar isolate Sally breed double haploid chromosome ssa15, whole genome shotgun sequence.
UGGCUCAGUUGGUAGAGCAUGGUGUUUGCAACACCAUGGUUGUGGGUUCAAUUCCCAC